rnacentral:rRNA from 1 species
AUUGAACGCUGGCGGCAGGCCUAACACAUGCAAGUCGAGCGGAGCGGCGGACGGGUGAGUAAUGCCUAGGAAUCUGCCUGGUAGUGGGGGAUAACGUCAGGAAACGGGCGCUAAUACCGCAUACUAUCAGAUGAGCCUAGGUCGGAUUAGAUAGUUGGUGGGGUAAAGGCCUACCAAGGCGACGAUCCCUAGCUGGUCUGAGAGGAUGACCAGCCACCCUGGAACGUUGACACGGUCCAGAUUCCUACGGGAGGCAGUAUUGGUGAAUAUUUCACAAUUGGCGCAAGCCUGAUGCAGCCAUGCCGCGUGUAUGAAGAAGGCCUUCGGGUUGUAAAGUACUUUCAGCGGGGAGGCGUUACCCGCAGAAUAAGCACCGGCUAACUCCGUGCCAGCCGCCGCGGUAAUAC